rnacentral:lncRNA from 1 species
GACAAUAGCAAGGCUCCGCCCAGCCUGGUUGGACAAUAGCAAGGCUCCGCCCAGCCUGGUUGGACAAUAGCAAGGCUCCAUUAGCCAUCUGUAUUUAUAUCACUAUGUUUUAGCCAUUUUGUUAUAUGUCUCUGGCAUUGGCUUUGCACGGACCACCUGACUUUAACCGUUACAUAGUUAACAUUGUAUUCUGUAUUAGUAGGAGCCCUAUUUGUUCAUAUCUGUAUGUAUUUUAUUUUUCAAAGUGUUUCUUCUUUUAGCCGUAGAUGAUCAUUAAAAACCUGUAAAAGUAUUUUUGGUCUUUGAAUAUUUUGAUGACUUCCUAUGAUGCUUUUAGUUCUUAUAAUGCGGCUAGUCCAGACAGGCUGGGUGACAGGCUUACUUCGGCCCUGAGAUAAUGCCUCUAGUCCAGAAUGGCUGGGUGACAGGCUUCCUUCAG